AUCUGGAUGGCUCAGUCAGUAGAGCAUCAGACUUUUAAUCUGAGGGUCCAGGGUUCAGGCCACUGUCUGGGCA
rnacentral:tRNA from 1 species